UUUCACUUUCUCGGGAAAAUGGAGAAUUCUAUCAUUUCCUGCACUAUGCGCGAUCUCAAUUUGGCUCGCCGUCAAGAUCGAUGGACACCACUGCGCUUCCUCUGGACGGCACUGCUAGGGUUCGACGCCGCCGCCUCUGGUUCACCUUCGCCGCCGCCUCUGGUUCACCUUCGCCGCCGCCUCUGGUUCACCUUCACCGCCUCUCCGCUUCUCUCACAGCACGAAGAAAAAGGCUCCG
rnacentral:lncRNA from 1 species